rnacentral:rRNA from 1 species
GACGUAGGGCGCAAGCGUUGUCCGGAAUUAUUGGGCGUAAAGAGCUCGUAGGUGGUUUGUUACGUCUGCUGUGAAAACCUAGGGCUUAACCCUGGGCUUGCAGUGGAUACGGGCAGACUAGAGGUAGGUAGGGGAGAAUGGAAUUCCUGGUGUAGCGGUGAAAUGCGCAGAUAUCAGGAGGAACACCGGUGGCGAAGGCGGUUCUCUGGGCCUUACCUGACACUGAGGAGCGAAAGCGUGGGGAGCGAACAGG